rnacentral:rRNA from 1 species
UGAGGAACAUGACCUUCGGCGGGGGAUAGCCGGCCCAACGGCCGGGUAAUACCGCGUACGACCACAUGGGGACAUCCCUGAGUGGUGAAAGCAGCAAUGCGCCGAUGGAGUGCCUCGCGGCCUAUCAGCUAGUUGGUGAGGUAACGGCUCACCAAGGCGACGACGGGUAGCUGGUCUGAGAGGAUGGCCAGCCACAUUGGGACUGAGACACGGCCCAGACCUGUACGGGGAGG